rnacentral:rRNA from 1 species
UCCUACGGGAAGCAGCAGUAGGGAAUCUUCCACAAUGGGCGAAAGCCUGAUGGAGCAAUGCCAUGUGAACGAUGAAGGUCCUAUGGAUUGUAAAGUUCUUUUAGGGGGGAAGACUAAGGACGGUACCCUCUGAAUAAGUGACAGCAAACUAUGUGCCAGCAGCUGCGGUAAUACAUAGGUCGCAAGCGUUAUUCGGAUUUAUUGGGCGUAAAGCAAGCGCAGGCGGAUGGAUAAGUUCUGUGUGAAAAGCAGCUGCUCAACAGCUGUUGGCGCCGAAUACUAUCCAUCUAGAAUACGGUAGAAAGUUUUGGAAUUGAAUAUGGAGCGGUGGAAUGUGUAGAUAUAUUCAAGAACACCAGAGGCGAAGGCGAAAACUUAGGCCGCUAUUGACGCUUAGGCUUGAAAGUGUGGGGAGCAAAUGGGAUUAGAUACCCCAGUAGUCCACACCGUAAACGAUGGGUAUUAAGUCUUGGGGCUAGUGCCUCAGGGUUGUAGCUUACGUGUUAAAUACCCCGCCUGGGUAGUACAUAUGCAAAUAUGAAACUCAAAGGAAUUGACGGGGACCUGAACAAGUGGUGGAACAUGUUGCUUAAUUCGAUAAUACACGAAAAACCUUACCAAGAUUUGACAUCCCCCGCAAAACUUUAGAAAUAAAGCGGAGGUUAUCGGGGUGACAGGUGGUGCAUGGUUGUCGUCAGCUCGUGUCAUGAGAUGUUGGGUUAAGUCCCGCAACGAGCGCAACCCUACUCUCUAGUUAAUUGUUUAGAGAGACUGAACAGUAAUGUAUAGGAAGGUCGGGAUCACGUCAAAUCAUCAUGCCCCUUAUGUCUUGGGCCGCAAACGUGUUACAAUGGCGAGUACAACGUGCAGCAAACCAGCGAUGGUAAGCAAAUCACUAAAAACUCGUCUCAGUCCGGAUAAAAGGCUGCAAUUCGCCUUUUUGAAGUUGGAAUCACUAGUAAUCCCGUGUCAGCUAUAUCGGGGUGAAUACGUUCCCAGGUCUUGUACA